UACGUAGGGGGCAAGCGUUGUCCGGAUUUAUUGGGCGUAAAGCGCGCGUAGGCGGCUUUGUAAGUUAGAGGUGAAAGCCCAGGGCUCAACCCUGGAAUUGCCUUUAAGACUGCAUCGCUUGAACAUCGGAGAGGUAAGUGGAAUUCCGAGUGUAGAGGUGAAAUUCGUAGAUAUUCGGAAGAACACCAGUGGCGAAGGCGACUUACUGGACGAUUGUUGACGCUGAGGUGCGAAAGCGUGGGGAGCAAACAGG
rnacentral:rRNA from 1 species